CCGGGUGUGGUGGAAAAUGGGCAAGGGCCGGGCCGUCACCCCCCAAGUGGCGCGCCGUAUCUUGAUCCGGAUACGGUGGCAAGUGAGCGAGGAUCGGGUCAUCGCAUCCUUAGUGGCGCGCUACAUCGGCGCCCGGAUGUAGUGGAAAAUGAGCAAGGGUCUUCGCAUUUGACUCGACGAGUGCGAAGGGUAAGGAAGCUAGCCGAGCCUAGGAGGAUUCGCUUAGGUAGCUGGAACGUAGGGUCUCUGACAGGGAAGCUUCGGGAGCUAGUUGAUGCAGCGAUGAGGAGAGGGGUUGAUAUCCUUUGCGUCCAAGAAACCAAAUGGAGAGGACAGAAGGCGAAGGAGGUGGACGAUACCGGCUUCCAGCUGUGGUACACGGGGACGGCUGCAAACAGAAAUGGCGUAGGCAUCUUGAUCAACAAGAGCCUCAAGUAUGGAGUGGUAGACGUCAGGAGACGUGGGGACCGGAUUAUCCUGGUCAAGCUGGUAGUUGAGGACUUGGUUCUCAAUGUUAUCAGCGCGUAUGCCCCGCAAGUAGGCCACAAUGAGAACACCAAGAGGGAGUUCUGGGAAGGCCUGGAAGACAUGGUUAGGAGUGUACCGAUUGGUGAGAAGCUCUUCAUAGGAGGAGACCUCAAUGGCCACAUGGGUACAUCUAACACGGGUUUUGAAGGGGCGCAUGGGGGCUUUGGCUAUGGCAUCAGCAAUCAAGAAGGAGAAGAUGUCUUAAGCUUUGCUCUAGCCUACAACAUGAUUGUAGCUAACACCCUCUUUAGAAAGAGAGAAUCGCAUCUGGUGACUUUUAGUAGUGGCCAACACUCUAGCCAGAUUGAUUUCAUCCUCUCGAGAAGAGAAGAUAGGCGUGCGUGCCUAGACUGUAAGGUGAUACCUGGAGAGAGUGUUGUACCCCAGCAUAAGCUGGUGGUUGCUGACUUCCGCUUUCGGAUUCGUGUCCAGCGGGAUAAGCGUGCCAAAGUUGCUAGAACGAAGUGGUGGAAGCUCAAGGGGGAGUUAGCUCAGGUGUUCAAGGAGAGGGUCAUUAAGGAGGGCCCUUGGGGGGAAGGAGGGGAUGCGGACAAUGUGUGGAUGAAGAUGGCGACUUGCAUUCGUAAGGUGGCCUCGGAGGAGUUUGGAGUGUCCAGGGGAAGGAGAAGCGAA
rnacentral:rRNA from 1 species